ACUUAUAUAAGUCUGAAUAUACAUUUUGACCUUAGAAGCUUUAAUUCAAAGCCAUAGGGAUUAAUUCUGACACUUGUAGCAAUUAGAGACAGACCUCUAGGCGUCUCACUUAAUGUUUCUCACAUUGUUGAUUUAUGGAUCAUAAAUAACUUCCCUGGCUUUGCUUUCUC